rnacentral:rRNA from 1 species
CAGCAGUGAGGAAUAUUGGACAAUGGGCGGAAGCCUGAUCCAGCCAUGCCGCGUGCAGGAAGACGGCCCUAUGGGUUGUAAACUGCUUUUAUACAGGAAGAAUAAUCACCACGUGUGGUGAGAUGACGGUACUGUAAGAAUAAGGACCGGCUAACUCCGUGCCAGCAGCCGCGGUAAUACGGAGGGUCCGAGCGUUAUCCGGAAUCAUUGGGUUUAAAGGGUCCGCAGGCGGGCAAUUAAGUCAGGGGUGAAAUGCUGUGGCUCAACCAUAGCACUGCCCUUGAUACUGGUUGUCUUGAGUUGUGGUGAAGUGGCCGGAAUAUGUAGUGUAGCGGUGAAAUGCAUAGAUAUUACAUAGAACACCGAUCGCGAAGGCAGGUCACUAACCACUAACUGACGCUGAUGGACGAAAGCGUGGGGAGCGAACGGGAUUAGA